rnacentral:lncRNA from 1 species
GACAAAAAUGAUAUUAAAAUAGAAGACUGGUAUUGUAAAGUGUGGGAUAUUGCAUUAAAUGAUAAAUUGACUUGAACUUAAAAUAAAAAUAGUGGAAAUAAGUUCUAACAAUUUUUAUGAUAUUUGGGGUAAAUUUGUGGAAUUUGUGUUAGUGAAAGGAAGGAGGAAAGCCUCUAAAGAAUACUCAAUACAAUUCUGGAGAGGUAGUCCAUAAUAAAAUAUUAUUAAAUGGAGUCCCGUGGGUAUGGGGUACACGUUAGAAUUUAGUGUAUAAUAAGCACUAUUUGUAAAUUUUUAUAUAUUUUUUGUUGUUACAUGUGGGUUUUUUUGGUGUUUUUUGUAUUAUAAAGUAAAAAAAGAAUUGGAAAAAAAAGACCACAAACUAUUUAGGAUAUCUGUGAAAUUGCCCUGGUUAUUUUUGGAAGCUAACUGGGAACAGACAAAUAUUAACAAACUUGUGUGCAAUGCAACAUAGGAGUAAAAUGCCCAUGUGCUUUUCCAGGUGUGCAGGAGGAAGGCAAAGACUUCAUUCCUGAACGAUGCACAAACAGGCUGCAGACAUCUGCUGAAGGACCAGUUGGCUAUAGAGAAGAGUAGAGGUGAGAAGGGUCCCCUCUUCUACUUACAGAACAGUGUCAGCAGAAGAAAUUCGAUUAUACUCAUACAAGACUUGCCAGCACCUUCAGGGCAACACCUGGAAGCUGAACUUCCUAUCCUGUGAUCUGAUGAGGAUCAAUGAAGGCAGGCCACCUGUUACUUCGUUUCCACUUUUUCAUUCCCAAACUCCUGGUCUGGAUAUAUUUUCCAUCCCUAAGCAAAAGCACAAUUGAGCAAGGUUAGCCAAGUGGACUUUUUGUUCUUUUUUUGUUUAGACCAUCCAAGCAAUUCUGUUUUUUACCUGAGAUCAUCGCUGAUGUUUGAACCUUCUUAAUUAUGUUUACCACAGUUAUGUGUGCUAUCCAGAUGACCAUUGUUCUGUCUUUCAAAGAAUGUAACUGCCU